GUAAGGAUGAUGAAGAAAUCAUUCGGAUUCCCACUAAUGUACAUACUGUGAUUACUAUAACCAGCUACUUCUGACUUCC
rfam:Nicotiana attenuata strain TT chromosome 2, whole genome shotgun sequence.